rnacentral:rRNA from 1 species
AACGAACGCUGGCGGCAUGCCUAACACAUGCAAGUCGAACGAGACCUUCGGGUCUAGUGGCGCACGGGUGCGUAACGCGUGGGAACCUGCCCUUAGGUUCGGAAUAACUCCCCGAAAGGGGUGCUAAUACCGGAUAAUGUCUUCGGACCAAAGAUUUAUCGCCUUUGGAUGGGCCCGCGUUGGAUUAGCUAGUUGGUAGGGUAAAAGCCUACCAAGGCGACGAUCCAUAGCUGGUCUGAGAGGAUGAUCAGCCACACUGGGACUGAGACACGGCCCAGACUCCUACGGGAGGCAGCAGUGGGGAAUAUUGGACAAUGGGCGAAAGCCUGAUACAGCAAUGCCGCGUGAGUGAUGAAGGCCUUAGGGUUGUAAAGCUCUUUUAACCGGGAUGAUAAUGACAGUACCGGGAGAAUAAGCUCCGGCUAACUACGUG